AAGAAGUCAGGCCGGAUUAAGCCAUAGUACGGCAAGAGCUAUGCUGCCUGUGAGCCCCGUCUAAGGACGUAAAAUGAAGUCAGGCCGAAAGCCACGGUUUGAGCAAACCGUGCUGCCUGUAGCUCCAUCGUGGGGAUGUAAAAACCUGGGAGGCUGCAACCCAUGGAAGCUGUACGCAUGGGGUAGCAGACUAGUGGGUUAGAGAA
rnacentral:lncRNA from 1 species